AUUGAACGCUGGCGGCAUGCCUUACACAUGCAAGUCGAACGGCAGCACGGGAGCAAUCCUGGUGGCGAGUGGCGAACGGGUGAGUAAAGUAUCGGAACGUGCCCAGUCGUGGGGGAUAACGUAGCGAAAGUUACGCUAAUACCGCAUACGAUCUAUGGAUGAAAGCGGGGGAUCGCAAGACCUGGCGCUUGAGGAGGGACCCGCGUCCGAUUAGCUAGUUGGUGGGGUAACGGCCCACCAAGGCAACGAUCGGUAGCCGGCCUGAGAGGGUGUCCGGCCACACUGAGACUGAGACACGGCCCAGACUCCUACGGGAGGCAGCAGUGAGGAAUUAUGCGCAAUGGGGGAAACCCUGACGCUGCGACGCCGCGUGGGUGAUGAAGGUCUUCGGAUCGUAAAACCCUGUCGAGAGGGAAGAAUGGCCCGGUGCUAAUACCAUCGGAGUCUGACGGUACCUCUGGAGGAAGCCCCGGCUAACUCCGUGCCAGCCGCCGCGGUAAUAC
rnacentral:rRNA from 1 species